rnacentral:piRNA from 1 species
UGCUAAGUUGCUGACAAGGAGCCAUCCC